UCCUCCCUCUGGCUUCGUGCUUAACACAUGCAAGUCGAACGGAAAGGCCCUGCUUUUGUGGGGUGCUCGAGUGGCGAACGGGUGAGUAACACGUGAGUAACCUGCCCUUGACUUUGGGAUAACUUCAGGAAACUGGGGCUAAUACCGGAUAGGAGCUCCUGCUGCAUGGUGGGGGUUGGAAAGUUUCGGCGGUUGGGGAUGGACUCGCGGCUUAUCAGCUUGUUGGUGGGGUAGUGGCUUACCAAGGCUUUGACGGGUAGCCGGCCUGAGAGGGUGACCGGCCACAUUGGGACUGAGAUACGGCCCAGACUCCUACGGGAGGCAGCAGUGGGGAAUAUUGCACAAUGGGCGGAAGCCUGAUGCAGCAACGCCGCGUGCGGGAUGACGGCCUUCGGAUUGUAAACCGCUUUCGCCUGUGACGAAGCGUGAGUGACGGUAAUGGGUAAAGAAGCACCGGCUAACUACGUG
rnacentral:rRNA from 1 species